GCUGACCUCAAGAGAAUUUGCAAGACAAUAAUUGAGGCUGUAAGUGAAGAGGAGAGACUAAAAGCUUUUGCUCCUAUUCAGGAAAUGAUGACUCUUGUGCCAUUUGCUAAUGAAUCUGACUAUGGCACGGGGCUUGAGUUGAGAAAAUGGACCUCUUUUGCUAUGGCUCACAUUAUUUUUGUAAAGUUGCUGGCCAGCUUUUACCUCUUGCAUAUAAACUGUUGAAGAGGAAUCUGUUUGCAGAAGUUAUUGAGAAUCAUCUGGCAAACAGAAGAGAACUUAGACCAACUUGCUGCAUGA
rnacentral:lncRNA from 1 species